UAGUCUCUUCCUUCUCUUGUUAGGAUAAGCUCAAAAAUAGAAAGGACAAGUCCAAUUUUAGGACAAGAGUCUAGGAAGAGAAUUAAGGAAGACAAGGAGAGAAGAAAGGUAGGGAUAGGAAGGCUAGGAGAAGAGGAAGAGGGUCUUGAGGUCCUGGUGUUCAAGAAAAUUCUCAGAGUGAGAAUUUUGGAGGAGGAAUCAUCUUAAAGA
rnacentral:lncRNA from 1 species